CUUUAGGUCAAACAAAGGACUUCCAAGAAACAUUACCAGUUAUCCUCAGCUGCUGCAUCAAGAUGACUCUGAUUGCUGCAAUGGUCUUUAUCUGCUACAUCACCAAUAAUGCUGUCAAUACGCGGAAGAAUAUUUGUUUCUAAACAGCAACGAUGAACCAUGGUGAUGUAGUAAAAGCUGCUCCUUCAAUAACAAGUUCAGGCAGGACUUGGGAAAUACAAACAUCAUUAACA